rnacentral:rRNA from 1 species
ACGGGUGAGUAAUGUCUGGGGAUCUGCCCGAUAGAGGGGGAUAACCACUGGAAACGGUGGCUAAUACCGCAUAACGUCGCAAGACCAAAGAGGGGGACCUUCGGGCCUCUCACUAUCGGAUGAACCCAGAUGGGAUUAGCUAGUAGGCGGGGUAACGGCCCACCUAGGCGACGAUCCCUAGCUGGUCUGAGAGGAUGACCAGCCACACUGGAACUGAGACACGGUCCAGACUCCUACGGGAGGCAGCAGUGGGGAAUAUUGCACAAUGGGCGCAAGCCUGAUGCAGCCAUGCCGCGUGUAUGAAGAAGGCCUUCGGGUUGUAAAGUACUUUCAGCGGGGAGGAAGGCGAUAAGGUUAAUAACCUUGUCGAUUGACGUUACCCGCAGAAGAAGCACCGGCUAACUCCGUGCCAGCAGCCGCGGUAAUACGGAGGGUGCAAGCGUUAAUCGGAAUUACUGGGCGUAAAGCGCACGCAGGCGGUCUGUUAAGUCAGAUAUGAAAUCCCCGGGCUUAACCUGGGAACUGCAUUUGAAACUGGCAGGCUUGAGUCUCGUAGAGGGGGGUAGAAUUCCAGGU